rnacentral:rRNA from 1 species
CGCAACUGACGCUCAUGCUCGAAAGUGCGGGUAUCGAACAGGAUUAGAUACCCUGGUAGUCCGCACGGUAAACGAUGGAUGCCCGCUAUUUGUCCAUUAGGAUAAGUGGCCAAGUGAAAACGUUAAGUAUCCCACCUGGGGAGUACGCCGGCAACGGUGAAACUCAAAGGAAUUGACGGGGGCCCGCACAAGCGGAGGAACAUGUGGUUUAAUUCGAUGAUACGCGAGGAACCUUACCCGGGCUUGAAUUGUGAGAGAAGGAUCCAGAGAUGGUGACGCCCUUCGGGGCUCUCAUGAAGGUGCUGCAUGGUUGUCGUCAGCUCGUGCCGUGAGGUGUCGGCUUAAGUGCCAUAACGAGCGCAACCCCUCUCUUCAGUUGCCAUCAGGUUAAGCUGGGCACUCUGGAGACACUGCCACCGUAAGGUGUGAGGAAGGUGGGGAUGACGUCAAAUCAGCACGGCCCUUACGUCCGGGGCUACACACGUGUUACAAUGGGUGGUACAGAGAGUUGGGUGCCCGCAAGGUCACUCUAAUCAAUAAAUCCAUCCUCAGUUCGGACUGGGGUCUGCAACCCGACCCCACGAAGCUGGAUUCGCUAGUA